rnacentral:rRNA from 1 species
CUUGUUGGCCAUACCACUCUGAGCGUGCCCAAUCUUGUCUGAUCUCUGAAGCUAAGCAGCGUUGGGCCUAGUUAAUACUUGGAUGGGAGAAACA